UACGUAGGGGGCAAGCGUUGUCCGGAUUUAUUGGGCGUAAAGAGCUCGUAGGUGGUUCGGUAAGUCGGAUGUGAAAUCUCCAGGCUCAACCUGGAGGGGUCAUUCGAUACUGCCGUGACUAGAGUUCGGUAGGGGAGUGUGGAAUUCCUGGUGGAGCGGUGAAAUGCGCAGAUAUCAGGAGGAACACCCGUAGCGAAGGCGGCACUCUGGGCCGAUACUGACACUGAGGGACGAAAGCUAGGGGAGCGAAUGGG
rnacentral:rRNA from 1 species